CACGGGGGGCCUACGGGAGGAGCAGUGGGGAAUAUUGGGCAAUGGGCGCAAGCCUGACCCAGCCACGCCGCGUGGGUGAUGAAGGCCUUCGGGUCGUAAAGCCCUGUGGGGAGGGACGAAUCAGCCUCUGGCUAACAUCCGGGGGCCUUGACGGUACCUCCUUAGCAAGCACCGGCCAACUCCGUGCCAGCAGCCGCGGUAAUA
rnacentral:rRNA from 1 species